AUUCAGUUAAUGAGUUCCAAAUAAGACGAAACCCGUGUCCUGGAU
rnacentral:hammerhead_ribozyme from 1 species